rnacentral:rRNA from 1 species
GAUGAACGCUGGCGGCGUGCCUAAUACAUGCAAGUCGAGCGAACAGACGAGGAGCUUGCGCCUCUGACGUUGGCGGCGGACGGGUGAGUGACACGUGGAUAACCUACCUAUAAGACUGGGAUGACUUCGGGAAACCGGAUACACUACCGGAUAAUAUAUUGAACCGCAUGGAUCAAUGGUUAAAGGCGGUUUUGCUGUCACUUAUAGCUGGAUCCGCGCCGCAUUAGCUAGUUGGUAAGGUAACGGCUUACCAAGGCAACGAUGCGUAGCCGACCUGAGAGGGUGAUCGGCCACACUGGAACUGAGACACGGUCCAGACUCCUACGGGAGGCAGCAGUAGGGAAUCUUCCGCAAUGGGCGAAAGCCUGACGGAGCAACGCCGCGUGAGUGAUGAAGGUCUUCGGAUCGUAAAACUCUGUUAUUAGGGAAGAACAAAUGUGUAAGUAACUAUGCACGUCUUGACGGUACCUAAUCAGAAAGCCACGGCUAACUACGUG